rnacentral:rRNA from 1 species
GACGAACGCUGGCGGCGUGCUUAACACAUGCCAGUCGAACGGAAAGGCCCUGCUUUUGUGGGGUGCUCGAGUGGCGAACGGGUGAGUAACACGUGAGUAACCUGCCCUUGACUUUGGGAUAACUUCAGGAAACUGGGGCUAAUACCGGAUAGGAGCUCCUGCUGCAUGGUGGGGGUUGGAAAGUUUCGGCGGUUGGGGAUGGACCCGCGGCUUAUCAGCUUGUUGGUGGGGUAGUGGCUUACCAAGGCUUUGACGGGUAGCCGGCCUGAGAGGGUGACCGGCCACAUUGGGACUGAGAUACGGCCCAGACUCCUACGGGAGGCAGCAGUGGGGAAUAUUGCACAAUGGGCGGAAGCCUGAUGCAGCAACGCCGCGUGCGGGAUGACGGCCUUCGGGUUGUAAACCGCUUUCGCCUGUGACGAAGCGUGAGUGACGGUAAUGUGUAAAGAAGCACCGGCUAACUACGUG